AUUGAACGCUGGCGGCAUGCCUUACACAUGCAAGUCGAACGGCAGCGGACCUUCGGGUGCCGGCGAGUGGCGAACGGGUGAGUAAUAUAUCGGAACGUACCUUUCAGUGGGGGAUAACGUAGCGAAAGUUACGCUAAUACCGCAUAUUCUGUGAGCAGGAAAGCAGGGGAUCGCAAGACCUUGCGCUGAUUGAGCGGCCGAUAUCAGAUUAGCUAGUUGGUGAGGUAAAGGCUCACCAAGGCGACGAUCUGUAGCGGGUCUGAGAGGAUGAUCCGCCACACUGGAACUGAGACACGGUCCAGACUCCUACGGGAGGCAGCAGUGGGGAAUUUUGGACAAUGGGCGCAAGCCUGAUCCAGCCAUGCCGCGUGUGUGAAGAAGACCUUAGGGUUGUAAAGCACUUUCAUUGGGGAGAAAGGCUGUUUGGUUAAUACCCAAGCAGAUUGAUGUUACCCAAAGAAGAAGGACCGGCUAACUCCGUGCCAG
rnacentral:rRNA from 1 species